rnacentral:rRNA from 1 species
CCUACGGGUGGCAGCAGUGAGGAAUAUUGGUCAAUGGCCGAGAGGCUGAACCAGCCAAGUCGCGUGAGGGAAGACGGCCCUACGGGUUGUAAACCUCUUUUGUCGGGGAGCAAAGCGAGUCACGUGUGACUCAUUGAGAGUACCCGAAGAAAAAGCAUCAGCUAACUCCGUGCCAGCAGCCGCGGUAAUACGGAGGAUGCGAGCGUUAUCCGGAUUUAUUGGGUUUAAAGGGUGCGCAGGCGGAGGUGCAAGUCAGCGGUCAAAUUGCGGGGCUCAACCCCGGCCUGCCGUCGGAACUGGGUGCCUUGAGUGGGCGAGAAGUAUGCGGAAUGUGUGGUGUAGCGGUGAAAUGCAUAGAUAUCACGCAGAACCCCGAUUGCGAAGGCAGCAUACCGGCGCCCUACUGACGCUGAGGCACGAAAGUGCGGGUAUCGAACAGGAUUAGAUACCCUAGUAGUC